UAGGGAAUCUUCCGCAAUGGACGCAAGUCCGACGGAGCAACGCCGCGGGAGUGAAGAAGGAUUUCGGUUCGUAAAACUCUGUUGUUAGAGAAGAACAGCGACUAGAGUAAUUGUUAUGCGUGUGACGGAAUCUAACCAGAAAGCCACGGCUAACUACGUGCCAGCAGCCGCGGUAAUACGUAGGUGGCAUGCGUUGUCCGGAUUUAUUGGGCGUAAAGCGAGCGCAGGCGGUUAAUUAGUUCUGAUGGGAAAGCCCCCGGCUCAACCGGGGAGGGUCAUUGGAAACUGGUUGACUUGAGUGCAGAAGAGGAGAGUGUAAUUCCAUGUGUAACGGUAAAAUGCGUAGAUUUAUGGAGGAACACCAGUGGCGAAGGCGACUCUCUGGUCUGUAACUGACGCGGGGUGUCGAAAGCGUGGGUAGCAAACAGG
rnacentral:rRNA from 1 species